GACGAACGCUGGCGGCGUGCUUAACACAUGCAAGUCGAACGGAAAGGCCCUGCUUUUGUGGGGUGCUCGAGUGGCGAACGGGUGAGUAACACGUGAGUAACCUGCCCUUGACUUUGGGAUAACUUCAGGAAACUGGGGCUAAUACCGGAUAGCAGCUCCUGCUGCAUGGUGGGGGUUGGAAAGUUUCGGCGGUUGGGGAUGGACUCGCGGCUUAUCAGCUUGUUGGUGGGGUAGUGGCUUACCAAGGCUUUGACGGGUAGCCGGCCUGAGAGGGUGACCGGCCACAUUGGGAGUGAGAGACGGCCCAGACUCGUACGGGAGGCAGCAGUGGGGAAUAUUGCACAAGGGGCGGAAGCCUGAUGCAGCAACGCCGCGUGCGGGAUGACGGCCUUAGGGUUGUAAACCGCUUUCGCCUGUGACGAAGCGUGAGUGACGGUAAUGGGUAAAGAAGCACCGGCUAACUACGUG
rnacentral:rRNA from 1 species